rnacentral:rRNA from 1 species
GAUGAACGCUGGCGGCGUGCCUAAUACAUGCAAGUCGAGCGAACAGACGAGGAGCUUGCUCCUCUGACGUUAGCGGCGGACGGGUGAGUAACACGUGGAUAACCUACCUAUAAGACUGGGAUAACUUCGGGAAACCGGAGCUAAUACCGGAUAAUAUAUUGAACCGCAUGGUUCAAUAGUGAAAGACGGUUUUGCUGUCACUUAUAGAUGGAUCCGCGCCGCAUUAGCUAGUUGGUAAGGUAACGGCUUACCAAGGCAACGAUGCGUAGCCGACCUGAGAGGGUGAUCGGCCACACUAGAACUGAGACACGGUCCAGACUCCUACGGGAGGCAGCAGUAGGGAAUCUUCCGCAAUGGGCGAGAGCCUGACGGAGCAACGCCGCGUGAGUGAUGAAGGUCUUCGGAUCGUAAAACUCUGUUAUUAGGGGAGAACAAAUGUGUAAGUAACUAUGCACGUCUUGACGGUACCUAAUCAGAAAGCCACGGCUAACUACGUG